GAAUAGAAAGGCGCACAAUCUAGCUUCGAGAAUCGGAGGAAUGGAGAUUACCUAUAACGACGGCCUCCGGAUCCGGGUCUGACAUGGCGUCCUGGAGUCGGUGAAGGAGUGUGGCUGAUACCUCGCACACUGUCUCCAUGUGCAACUGUACUGUGCAAUCUACAAGACACGACCUGCAGGUUUCUUAGAGGCUGCACCACCUCCCGAAUGCACAGCUCCAUGUCAGUGAGCGUUGUCGAGGCCAAGUGGACUGGAAGCUGUGCUUGGACUGCCCACAGUGCCAAAGCCUGAAGCUUUGACUGGAAGCUGUUACGAUGCGGUCGCAUGUUUAUGCGUGGGU